rnacentral:rRNA from 1 species
GGGUGAGGAAUACAUCGGAAUCUACCUUUUCGUGGGGGAUAACGUAGGGAAACUUACGCUAAUACCGCAUACGACCUACGGGUGAAAGUGGGGGACCGCAAGGCCUCACGCGAUUAGAUGAGCCGAUGUCCGAUUAGCUAGUUGGCGGGGUAAUGGCCCACCAAGGCGACGAUCGGUAGCUGGUCUGAGAGGAUGAUCAGCCACACUGGAACUGAGACACGGUCCAGACUCCUACGGGAGGCAGCAGUGGGGAAUAUUGGACAAUGGGCGCAAGCCUGAUCCAGCCAUACCGCGUGGGUGAAGAAGGCCUUCGGGUUGUAAAGCCCUUUUGUUGGGAAAGAAAUCCUGUCGAUUAAUACUCGGUGGGGAUGACGGUACCCAAAGAAUAAGCACCGGCUAACUUCGUGCCAGCAGCCGCGGUAAUACGAAGGGUGCAAGCGUUACUCGGAAUUACUGGGCGUAAAGCGUGCGUAGGUGGUGGUUUAAGUCUGCUGUGAAAGCCCUGGGCUCAACCUGGGAAUUGCAGUGGAUACUGGAUUACUAGAGUGUGGUAGAGGGAUGCGGAAUUUCUGGUGUAGCAGUGAAAUGCGUAGAGAUCAGAAGGAACAUCCGUGGCGAAGGCGGCAUCCUGGGCCAACACUGACACUGAGGCACGAAAGCGUGGGGAGCAAACAGGAUUAGAUACCUGGUAGUCCACGCCCUAAACGAUGC